rnacentral:rRNA from 1 species
CCUACGGGAGGCAGCAGUGAGGAAUAUUGGUCAAUGGGCGCGAGCCUGAACCAGCCAAGUAGCGUGAAGGAUGACUGCCCUAAGGGUUGUAAACUUCUUUUAUAAAGGAAUAAAGUGAGGCACGUGUGCCUUUUUGUAUGUACUUUAUGAAUAAGGAUCGGCUAACUCCGUGCCAGCAGCCGCGGUAAUACGGAGGAUCCGAGCGUUAUCCGGAUUUAUUGGGUUUAAAGGGUGCGUAGGCUGGGAGGUAAGUCAGCGGUGAAAUGCCCCGGCUCAACGGGGUGAAGUGCCAUUGAUACUGGCAGGCUGGAGUGCGGAUGCCGUAGGAGGAAUGUGUGGUGUAGCGGUGAAAUGCAUAGAUAUCGCACAGAACACCGAUUGCGAAGGCAUCUCACGAACCCGCGAUUGACGCUGAUGCACGAAAGCGUGGGUAUCAAACAGGAUUAGAUACCCCAGUAGUC